GCCUGAGCCCACCACAAGUGGCACCCCACCUCGGGGUUCGGUCCAUCCAACACUGCAUGCAUUGAUGCCUCGUCCUGGCCACCCUGGGUCAGAUAAGAGUCCCGGAACUAUCAUACCUGGC